rnacentral:rRNA from 1 species
CAGCUCCAAUAGCGUAUAUUAAAGUUGUUGCAGUUAAAACGCUCGUAGUCUGAUGUAAUGGGGGACUGGAGUGGGGGAGCAGCGAUGCUCUGUGCUUUGGUCCUCAUCAGCGGGCCAUCAAUAGCCAUUUUACUUUGAGGAAAUUAGAGUGUUCAAAGCAGGCAAUUGCUUGAAUACUGCAGCAUGGAAUAAUGGAAUAG